rnacentral:rRNA from 1 species
UUUAAUGAGAGUUUGAUCCUGGCUCAGGACGAACGCUGGCGGCGUGCCUAAUACAUGCAAGUAGAACGCUGAGGUUUGGUGUUUACACUAGACUGAUGAGUUGCGAACGGGUGAGUAACGCGUAGGUAACCUGCCUCAUAGCGGGGGAUAACUAUUGGAAACGAUAGCUAAUACCGCAUAAGAGUAAUUAACACAUGUUAGUUAUUUAAAAGGAGCAAUUGCUUCACUGUGAGAUGGACCUGCGUUGUAUUAGCUAGUUGGUGAGGUAAAGGCUCACCAAGGCGACGAUACAU